GAUGAACGCUGGCGGCGUGCCUAAUACAUGCAAGUCGAGCGAACAGACGAGGAGCUUGCUCCUCGGACGUUAGCGGCGGACGGGUGAGUAACACGUGUAUAACCUACCUAUAAGACUGGGAUAACUUCGGGAAACCGGAGCUAAUACCGGAUAAUAUAUUGCAUCGCAUGGUUCAAUAGUGAAAGACGGCUUUGCUGUCACUUAUAGGUUGAUCCGCGCCGCAUUAACAAGUUGGGAAGGUAACGGCUUACCAAGGCAACGAUCCGGAACCGACCUGGAGGGGGGUCCGGCAACCCUGGAACUGAGCCACGACCCAGACUCUAAAGGGAGGAGGAGGAGGGGAACCUUCGGAAAUGGGCGAAAGCCGAACGGAGCAACGCCGCGUGAGUGAUGAGGUUCUUGGAAUCGUAAACUUCGGUUAUUAGGGAAGAACAAAAGUGUAAGUAACUAUGCACGUCUUGACGGUACCUAAUCAGAAAGCCACGGCUAACUACGUG
rnacentral:rRNA from 1 species